UUUUUGGUUCAUAUAUCAACUUUCUUUUGUUGAUUAGAAUUGUAAAGUUAUAAACAGUCAUGUAUUUCGAGAGAAUGAUUAAGAUGUAAAAGAAUUUAUGAAUGAAUGGAAAAAGAAUGUAAUAGUUGUAAUUUAUUUGUAUUUGGUUAAAAUGUAAUCAAAUAUUAUGAAUGGUUGUAUGUUUUAGUAUAGAGCUUUCGCU
rnacentral:lncRNA from 1 species